UACUACGAGCAUUAGCUUAAAACCCAAAGGACUUGGCGGUGCUUAAGAUCCACCUAGAGGAGCCUGUUCUAGAACCGAUAACCCCCGUUAAACCUCACCCUCUCUUGCUUUUCCGCCUAUAUACCGCCGUCGUCAGCUUACCCUGUGAAGGCCCCAUAGUAAGCAAAACUAGCCUGCCCCAAAACGUCAGGUCGAGGUGUAGCACAUGAGAGGGGAAGAAAUGGGCUACAUUCCCUGCCCCAGGGAACACGAACAAUGGGCUGAAACGCCAAUUUGAAGGAGGAUUUAGCAGUAAGCAGAAAAUAGAGCGUUCCGCUGAAACUGGCCCUAAAGCGCGCACACACCGC
rnacentral:rRNA from 1 species